AUGGACGACAAGCAGCAGGAGAUCAACAACCUGGGGAACAACAAGGCUAACAAUCUCUUCCAGCUCUAGGAGCUGGCCAAGAAGUACAGAGACAGUGAGCAGGUGGUCAUCAAGGACAGGAUGGAGAAAGAGGCCCUACACAGGCAGCUGGAGAAGGAACACAUGGAGCGAGACGCAGCCACCAAGAUGACCGGCUUAUUGUUGCUACAGUUGAUGUCGGAGUAUGGAAGUAUGCUUGAGGUCAAAGUCCAUUUGGAAGAGCCAUUUGUGACCAAGCUUUAUCUUCCUGACUGAUGUCUUGGGAUGUUGCUUCAAUAUAUCCACAUACCUUUCCCACCUCAUGAUGCCAUCUAUUUUGUGAUGGUAAAACAAGUCCUAUAUCGACAUAACCUGAAAGGCUGCUCAGCAAGGAAGAAGCCACUGCUCCAAAAUCACCUUAAAAAAGCCUGCAUAUGGGGACAAAGAAUGUACUUUCUGGAGAAAUGUCCUCUGGUCUGAUGAAACAAAAAUGUAACUGUUUGGCCAUAAUGAACAUCAUUAUGUUUGCAGGAAAAAGGGGGAGGCUUGCAAGCCGAAGAACACCAUCCCAACCGUGAAGCACAGGGGUGG
ensembl:lncRNA